rnacentral:snRNA from 1 species
AUCGCUUCUCGGCCUUUUGGCUAAGAUCAAGUGUAGUAUCUGUUCUUAUCAGUUUAAUAUCGGAUACAUCCUCUAUCUGAGGACAAUAUAUUAAAUGGAUUUUUGGAACUAGGUGUUGGAAUAGGAGCUUGCUCCGUCUACUCCACGCAUCGACCUAGUAUUGCAGUACCUCCAGGGACAGUGCACCCCCU